GUCCCAGUAGCUCAGUUGGAUAGAGCAACGGCCUUCUAAGCCGUGGGCCGGGGGUUCGAAUCCCUCCUGGGACACCA
rnacentral:tRNA from 3 species